rnacentral:rRNA from 1 species
UACGGAGGGGGCUAGCGUUGUUCGGAAUUACUGGGCGUAAAGCGCACGUAGGCGGCUUUGUAAGUUAGAGGUGAAAGCCCAGGGCUCAACCCUGGAAUUGCCUUUAAGACUGCAUCGCUUGAAUCAUGGAGAGGUGAGUGGAAUUCCGAGUGUAGAGGUGAAAUUCGUAGAUAUUCGGAAGAACACCAGUGGCGAAGGCGACUCACUGGUCAUGUAUUGACGCUGAGGUGCGAAAGCGUGGGGAGCAAACAGG